rnacentral:misc_RNA from 1 species
AACUUUUAGCAACGGAUCUCUUGGCUCUCGCAUCGAUGAAGAACGCAGCGAAAGGCGAUAAGUAUUGUGAAUUGCAGAAUUCAGUGAAUCAUCGAAUCUUUGAACGCACUUUGCGCUCCUUGGUAUUCCGAGGAGCAUGCCUGUUUGAGUGUCAUUAAGAUAUCAAUCUCUUCAGCUUUUGCUUGUUGAGCGUUGGAUGUGGGGGUCUUUUGCUGGUCUUUUAAAGAGAUCAGCUCCCCUAAAAUGUAUUAGCGGAACAUUUUGUUGACCGUUCAUUGGUGUGAUAAUUAUCUACGCUAUUAACGUGAGGCAGUUCAGCUUCUAACAGUCCAUUGACUUGGACAGUUUUUCAUUAAUGUGACCUCAAAUCAGGUAGGACUACCCGCUGAACUUAAGCAUAUCAAUAAGCGGAGGAU